rnacentral:rRNA from 1 species
AGGAAAAGAAACUAACAAGGAUUCCCGUAGUAACUGCGAGUGAAGUGGGAAGAGCUCAAAUUGGAAUCUGGGGUUCUGGCCGCCGAGUUGUAAUCUAGAGAAGUGUUACCUGCGCUGGACCGUGUACAAGUCUCCUGGAACGGAGCGUCAUAGAGGGUGAGAAUCCCGUCUCUGACACGGACUACCAGGGCUUUGUGGUAUGCUCUCAAAGAGUCGAGUUGUUUGGGAAUGCAGCUCAAAAUGGGUGGUAAACUCCAUCUAAAGCUAAAUACUGGCGAGAGACCGAUAGUGAACAAGUACCGUGAGGGAAAGAUGAAAAGAACUUUGGAAAGAGAGUUAAACAGUACGUGAAAUUGCUGAAAGGGAAACGCUUGAAGUCAGUCGCGUUGGCUGGGGAUCAGCUUCACAAGCUGUGUGGUGUAUUUCCUGGUUGACGGGUCAGCAUCAAUUUUGACCGCUGGAGAAAGGCUUGGGGAAUGUAGCAGCCCUGGCUGUGUUAUAGCCUCUUGUCAGAUACAGUGGUUGGGAUUGAGGUGUGCAGCACGCCGCGAGGCCGGGGCUGUUAUAGACCACGUUCGUGCUUAGGAUGUUGACAUAAUGGCUUUAAGCGACCCCUCUUGAAACACGGACCAAGGAGUCUAACAUGCCUCCGAGUGUUUGGGUGGAAAACCCGUGCGCGCAAUGAAAGUGAAAGUUGAGAUCCCUGUCGUGGGGAGCAUCGACGCCCGGACCUGAACUUUUGGGAUGGAUCUCCGGUAGAGCAUGUAUGUUGGGACCCGAAAGAUGGUGAACUAUGCCUGAAUAGGGCGAAGCCAGAGGAAACUCUGGUGGAGGCUCGUAGCGAUUCUGACGUGCAAAUCGAUCGUCAAAUUUGGGUAUAGGGGCGAAAGACUAAUCGAACCAUCUAGUAGCUGGUUCCUGCCGAAGUUUCCCUCAGGA